AGUGAACGCUGGCGGCAGGCCUAACACAUGCAAGUCGAACGGUAACAGGAAACAGCUUGCUGUUUCGCUGACGAGUGGCGGACGGGUGAGUAAUGUCUGGGAAACUGCCUGAUGGAGGGGGAGAACUACUGGAAACGGUAGCUAAUACCGCAUAACGUCGCAAGACCAAAGAGGGGGACCUUCGGGCCUCUUGCCAUCGGAUGUGCCCAGAUGGGAUUAGCUAGUAGGUGGGGUAACGGCUCACCUAGGCGACGAUCCCUAGCUGGUCUGAGAGGAUGACCAGCCACACUGGAACUGAGACACGGUCCAGACUCCUACGGGAGGCAGCAGUGGGGAAUAUUGCACAAUGGGCGCAAGCCUGAUGCAGCCAUGCCGCGUGUAUGAAGAAGGCCUUCGGGUUGUAAAGUACUUUCAGCGGGGAGGAAGGGAGUAAAGUUAAUACCUUUGCUCAUUGACGUUACCCGCAGAAGAAGCACCGGCUAACUCCGUG
rnacentral:rRNA from 1 species